GAUGAACGCUGGCGGCGUGCCUAAUACAUGCCAGUAGAACGCUGAAGGAGGAGCUUGCUCUUCUGGAUGAGUUGCGAACGGGUGAGUAACGCGUAGGUAACCUGCCUGGUAGCGGGGGAUAACUAUUGGAAACGAUAGCUAAUACCGCAUGACAACAGUUAUUGCAUGAUAACUGUUUAAAAGGGGCAACUGCUCCACUACCAGAUGGACCUGCGUUGUAUUAGCUAGUUGGUGAGGUAACGGCUCACCAAGGCGACGAUACAUAGCCGACCUGAGAGGGUGAUCGGCCACACUGGGACUGAGACACGGCCCAGACUCCUACGGGAGGCAGCAGUAGGGAAUCUUCGGCAAUGGACGGAAGUCUGACCGAGCAACGCCGCGUGAGUGAAGAAGGUUUUCGGAUCGUAAAGCUCUGUUGUAAGAGAAGAACGAGUGUGAGAGUGGAAAGUUCACACUGUGACGGUAUCUUACCAGAAAGGGACGGCUAACUACGU
rnacentral:rRNA from 1 species